rnacentral:misc_RNA from 1 species
CACACUUUUCUUCAUACAUGCCAUGGAUGACAUCAAUUCAUUUUUGAUUUAUGUUUGAUUCCAAAACAUUUAUCUCCCAACCUGAAAUGAUUGACCAUCAAGAACAUCUACAACAAAAUUGGAGCAAUUAGAUAACCUAACUAGGACCCACAAGAGAAACGAGAAAAGGUUUGACAACUCAACUUGUAAUGCAAUUUUCCCAUAGAAAAAGACAAGCAUGUAAUGAAGCUUCUCCAGAACAGCUUCUUUCUACUGCCACUGGUAAUGCAAUUUAUUGCAGUGCAAUUCUAUUCAAAAGAAAAUAUUAUGGAAUGAUCUAGAGUAGACUGGACAAAACACAAAGGGUUUUCAACUAUCAUUGCAUUCAAAUAAUUGGAGAAUGCCUGCCUACAAAAGGAUCAGUUUAACUCUAGCCUACACCUGUGUGGAAUGCUCGAGUUUAUACAUGAUUUGGUAGGCCUCUUUGGCCCCCAAAAUCCAAUCCCCCGUUUCCAUAUGAUACAGAUUCCAGCCUGAAUACGACAAAUCUUCAGGCAGGUGUAUUCACAUAGUGUCCUGUUUUUCUCCUAUGCCGGCUAAAGUCUGAUACAAACCUGAAAGAGAGGCCACAGUCUUCAACCUUGCACUUGUAUGGCUUCUCUCCAGUAUGCACCCGUAUAUGCUCAGUUCUAGCCCAUGCCCACUUGAAUGACAUGGAGCAACCCUUCCAUGGGCACUUGAGGGGUCUAUCACCUUCGUGAACACGUUGAUGAAUUAUUGCAUAUUUGUGGGUGCUAAAUUUCUUCCUACACCCUUCAUAUGGGCACUGGUUGCGUUUGUGCAACUGUAGCUCUGCCUUUGUCUUAAAACUCAUGGUGCAGCCUUCCAGGUCACACUUGUGAGAUCUCUUCAUGAUUUCUUUCUUUUUUGUGCAAGGAACUGAAAUAUCAGAAGGUUUUCUGGCCUUCUUUCUCAGUGGAUUCUCUUGAGUUGAUUUUCUAUUAUCAAUCCCAUUUCUACACGUUGCAUCUUUCCCAGCCCUCGGCCUCAAUCCUUCACAUGGGCUUUUAAUAAAGCCACUGCAAUUUAAUGUCUUGUCUGUUAGCUGCUCAACUUCAUUUUUCCUUUUUCUGCCCUUCCCAGCAGUUGAUCUAGGACCUACCACCGUGGAUUUGGUACUUUCCAAUUCACAUGAUGAACAAACUUCUUGGCCCUUGAGCAUAAUAUUUUCUAUUGUGCAAGAUUCUUCAUCAGUUCCAGAACAUUUUUUAAAUGGGUCUGGAUUAGGCUGAUUUAUCUGCGUAACUUGGCUAGAGAGAGGUUCCUCAUUAGUUGCACUCGUAGUCUGACAUAUUUUGUGCCCUUCAUCAUCCCUAGUCACCCAAUCAUCUGAGUGAAUUUGCUGCUGCAAGUCAGUGUAUAAAUUGACACCAAUAGACAAGUCUUCAGCAAUACAUUUCUCUCUUGGAGCUUCAGAAUAUUCCCCAACUGAACAAGGAACAAUUGGAUCUUGCAUUUGAGCAGGGGAAUUAGGGAUUACUUCCUCCACAUUGCUUCUGUUAGCAGUUGAAAUUUCUAACAGUAUUUCAGAAUCAGAAACUGAGCCAGUGAACAAGUCCCCUUUAGCUGAGAUCCCUCCAAUAACUUCAUGAUAUCCUUCCAGUGAAGAGGUAGUAGGUUGAUCUAUAUCCAUUUGUGUCAAAGGACACGAGAUGUGCUCUACUUUUCUUUCAUUUGUGGUCUGAAUUGCUUGCUGCCCCCUGUUCUCUGAAGUCACACCAUUGCACAAGUCGACUGCAGCACAGGGCUCCCUCAAAAUUUCAGAACUUCCACCCACAGAGACACAAUUUACCAAUCGAAUAUUGCCUGAAAUGAGUUCCUCCCCCUUACUUCCACCAGUAAUUGCAACUUCAUUCAGUUUAUCUUCCGCAAAACAGUUUUCUUGUGGAAAUCCAGCCCUUUCUUCCACUAAGGUAGAAUGCUGAUUUUUUAGUUUGUCAUCAUAUGAAAUGCUUUGGCUACAGUCACUUUUGCCUGUAGUUGGGAGUUUUAGCUGCAAUUCAUCGCCCAAAGUCAUACGACCAGUAACCUCAUUAUUCAUGCAAGAUUUCUUAGCAACUAUGCUCUCCAUUUGCCCUGCAGGCAGACAAGAGGCAUGCAAACUUACUGAGAUGGAAAGAUCGGAAACCUCAUUUGUCAAAACAUCUUUACCAGUCAGGUCUUUGUGCUGUCCUUUAGAAACCAUGCUACAAGUCUCAUGCCUGAGGUUGAUGAUCUUUUCCAUUAUUUGAUACUCUCCUUGUAUUCCAAAUCUUUCAUCAGCUGCAAUUACAAAUGGAAUAGAGCAUUCUAUCGCAUUAGAAUCCUCAACCUCACUAGUUCCUCCAGUGACCUUUUCUUCAUGCUGCAUCUCCGAACUACCACAGGCUGCUACGUUGCAGCCAAUCUCAUAGCCUUUUGAUUCUUCCAAAAUUUGACACUCAACAUCUCUUACAACUUGUUCAACAGCUACACUAGCAGUUAGAAGUGAACCAGCAACAUGUAAAGGUGCAGAAUUCAAGCUCAUAUUGUCAGUUGCUUCAAGCACCUGGACUUCAUGCAGUACUCCAGACAUUCCAAUGGGAGAGAAAUCAAAUCCUGCAGAAUCACUUCCACUUGUCUCAACAUUAGAAGGACUAAUCUUGGAUGUUUUGCCAUAAUGCUUCACAUGAUCUUGACAAUCAGAAACUGAAACUUCUUCCAUCACAUGAUUUCUGGGGCAGCCUUGACCCCAACUUGCAGAACAAUCUAUUUUAACCUUGUACUUCCUUCUUGUAUAUUGAAUGAGUUUUUCCCCCUUUUCAAUACUGGCUCUACCUGACCUUCCCCCCAAUGCACAAUCUUUGUUUGUUUCAACAGUGUCACAUGGCUUACAGUGAGCGGGCGAAUUUAACUUGGUUCUUGACCUUGAUCUUCUGGAUUGCCAUUUGAUAUUUAAGAAAUCUGAACUGGAACUUUCAUCAGAAAAUACUCCCCGCAAUGCUAAAGCAUGCUGUACUUUACUAGAUGGACUUUCAUCAGAAAAUAGCCCCCCCAAUGCUAAAGCAUGCUGAACUUUUCUAGAUGGAGCGUUCUUUCUAACCUUUACACAGCACUGUAAGUUGAUCCCCAUUCUUGAAGUCCAAUCUUCUCCACAUUCAUCAUGGUCUUCAUCAUCAAUUGCGAGACAUAUCAAGUUCAGAUCUUCCUGGGAUGCAUUUUCUAGUGCAACCUCAUUGUAAUUGAAAGGAGUGCCAAUAUCCUCUGAAAUGGCGGUAGCAUGUGCCUUUAUUUUCUGAUAGUCUGAAUGGCAAAUUAUAAGCAUGUUUGCUCCACCUUUAGACUGCAACAAUUCCUCAAUUUGGACAGCAUGCUCCAGGCAGAAAAUCCGAGGUCUCAGAAAUUUACUAGAAUUAUUCCACCCUCUGGGCAUUGGCAGAUCCGUCAGAGGAAGAAAAAGGUCAGGCACAGGAUGGAGAUCAUCUGGAACAGAGCACUUGAUAGAGCCACCACAGGCUACAGAGGAAUGACAAUUUUCAGAUUUUUCAACCCUUGAUCUUUCUUGAACCAAAGGAUGAUCCACUGGAAGAAGUUCUAUUGAUGCCCUCUCAGAUGGUUGCACCACACACAUAAAUGGAAAACCAAGUAUCCCACAAGCCACACAUGCCAAUGUUCCUGAAUCAACUUGAAAAUCACAUGAUAAAUCAUCAUCUUCCACAUAUAAAUCAUUGAGAGAUUCCAUAUACAAACUCAUCUCCUUAAACAGAUCAUUCCCAGUAGUGCCACUUUUAUCUUCAGAAUGAGCAUGCAAAACAUUUUCUUCUGAUGAGGUAGCAAUAGUAAUAGGCAACUGAGACUCUUUACUUGCACACGGCAACAAAUCAGGGUUCCAUAUUACCACAUUGUAAGCGGAAUCUUUCCCAAGAAGAACAGAUAAAAUACCAUUUUCUUUCAAUAUAUCUUCUAUAAAAGCCUUCUUCACUGACAACUCCCUUUCUUCUUUCAGACGGUCUCUAAGACGAGAACUCCGUGCACCUGGCAGCAGUGAUCUAGGUACCCUGGAAACAAAAGACAUAGUCAACAGGUAUAGCAGCUGCUGAUGGGAAAGCAUGGGAAGAUAAUUCAUGGCAGCUCUGCGUACUGCAGCUUCCCUGGCUACUUUAAGCCAUUGUGGAGUUCCAAAAUUAGCCGCUUCCCCACAGUUAAAACCAUGGCUGAAUCCUACAUGAUAAGCCCGUGGAAAAGUCACAACAAAGUCACCAGGAUUCUGUAUUAACCUACAACAAGGAAUGUUGGAUGAAACUACCACCUCAGGUGACAAAAGGGUUGUCUUCUCACCCAACAAUGUCAGAGCACCUAAGCGAUCAAUACUGCCACCAUAAGCCUCAGUACAGAUAACUUCCUCAAAUGCAAAUGCAUAAUCUCCGGGGACAGCAUACCAAGUCUUUGGAGAGCCAGUAUGCAGAAAAUUCAUGCUGUGAAGCUCAUGAUCUUCAACAUGCCAAGCAAACCAACUGAACAGCAUACCAAUAUAAAUCAUAGGGGAAGUAACACCUGGGAUAUCGUCUGGCAUGAAUCGCGUAAUUGACCCAGGUGAGCGUGCAAUUACUUGCAGAUUCCAAGGGCUGUUAGAAAGCUUCCAACCUGCAGUACCUUCCAUAUCACUGGUAGCAUUAACACUUUUUCGCUUAGAAGAUCUCAAAUUAUCCUCCAAAAUGGAGGUUGAAGAAGUAAUAGAUGAUGUGGGUAUUGGUCCUGAGGAUGUACUUGGGUCAUUCGUAAAAGCAGCACCCUUAAUUUCAUCAUUACAUGAAUUAUUUACAUUAUCCAUUUCAUUUUUCUUGAAAUCAGAACUUUCUGUACUCCUUCUAUACGACUUAUAUGAUGCCCUCUUCCUUCUUCGUCUAUGAAAAUACCGAAACUGACCCUCUGGCUCUCCAAAACCCGACCCAGGCACGUCAUUUGCAUAUUCCACAUGGAUAGGCUUCUCUGAAGCUGCUUUCCAGAACAAUGCUUCUAUAACCAAUGGAUUAACCUCCUUAAUCAUACCCAACAAACUCCUUGCAAAAGCCUUGGAUUUAGACUCAAAUUGUUCCAAUGUGUAAAUCUCCCCACUUUGCCAUACUUGCUUAUGAACACCCAAUUGGGGGCUCUCCUUAACCAUCCCUUUUGUUCUCUUCAUACCCUGUCCCAACUCCUGAUGCCUGGUCGUAAAUACAGCUCUAACCUCCCCUUCAUUAGUACAAUCCGCUAAACCCGUUUUCAAUGAGGAAGAAGCAUUUGACAAAUCCACACCAUCACCCAAUUCCGGACAUUUGGAAAGGGACUUAUUCAAGUUAUAAAAAACGUACCUUUUGGAAGGUUUAGGCAAGGGAGGUAUAAUCUUACAUAUACCAAAGGCACUAGCUUCCUUCUCAAUUUUCGAUAUAUAAGCAAUUGGGUCUGCAAAUUCAGUAUCAGUAGGCCGGAACUCGGGGGCCAAGGGCAAAUCUUUAAGCCAUUUGGGUAUUUCCACAUUACCCAUUUCAACAAAGAUUCAGAUUAACAAUACCCACUUGACAGAAGAAAUAUAUAACAAAAACAUGAAGCUCAAUUAUACAGCAUUUCCCUAUCAUUGAAGCUGCAAAGAAGAGCUCAUCUAAACCCUAGAUUCAAGAUUUUCUAUAGGUGAAACUGUAAAAUGGGUUUUUGCUUCUAUAGUGAUUGAAUUUUGAAGAUACCCCAACUUCAAGAAAUUGACAAAAUAGAGUGCAUGUAAAGGUAAAAUUUAAAAGAUGAAAAUAAAAUGAACCUGUUAACUCCAAGAGACUGUUUUGAAUUUCCCUUCUUCAAAGAAACCAAAUAAGAAGAGAGGGAGAGCGAAGGGGGGAGAGAAUUAGGGUGUUUGUCUAGGUUUUAAGUGACAUUUCUUAUCCAGCGUAUGAUAGUAAUGCAUACUGGGGAUACAUUAACAUGUACCUCGAGGACAUAGAGCACGAGUGUUUCUAGGCCGCGAGUUUCGGUGCAGGGUUUUUAAGCCCGAAACUCAGAGCUUCGUAGUUCGUUGUGCAACAACAGCGCACUUUAGCAGUGAGCGCUGAUAAAAUAAUGAGAUGAGAGGAUUAUCUGGGGUGAGUAUAGCCAAAUUAUCAAUGAAUUUAAGCAUGGACACAGAACACCGCAUUUUUAAUGAACGACCAACCCUUUAGGAGAUAUUAGCAUUAAUGGAAAAGAGGCAUCACAGAUGGGGUCCAAGGUCCAAGCAUAACAGGAAAGGCACCUAAGCCCAAACCA